rnacentral:rRNA from 2 species
UGAGGAAUAUUGGUCAAUGGAGGAAACUCUGAACCAGCCAAGUCGCGUGAAGGAUGACGGUCCUAUGGAUUGUAAACUUCUUUAGUAGGCGAGUAAGGAUAGGUACGUGUACCUAUUAGAAAGUAGCCUAAGAAUAAGUAUCGGCUAACUCCGUGCCAGCAGCCGCGGUAAUACGGAGGAUACGAGCGUUAUCCGGAUUUAUUGGGUUUAAAGGGUGCGUAGGUGGCUGAUUAAGUCAGUGGUGAAAAGCUAUGGCUCAACCAUAGUCUUGCCGUUGAUACUGGUUAGCUUGAGUGUAGAUGAUGUAGGCGGAACGUGUAGUGUAGCGGUGAAAUGCAUAGAUAUUACGCAGAACUCCGAUUGCGAAGGCAGCUUACAAAACUACUACUGACACUGAGGCACGAAAGCGUGGGUAUCAAACAGG